AUAGGGGAGCCGGAGGGAAACCGAGUCUUAACCGGGCGUUAAGUUGCAGGGUAUAGACCCGAAACCCGGUGAUCUAGCCAUGGGCAGGUUGAAGGUUGGGUAACACUAACUGGAGGACCGAACCGACUAAUGUUGAAAAAUUAGCGGAUGACCUGUGGCUGGGGGUGAAAGGCCAAUCAAACCGGGAGAUAGCUGGUUCUCCCCGAAAGCUAUUUAGGUAGCGCCUCGUGAAUUCAUCUCCGGGGGUAGAGCACUGUUUCGGCUAGGGGGCCAUCCCGGCUUACCAACCCGAUGCAAACUGCGAAUACCGGAGAAUGUUAUCACGGGAGACACACGGCGGGUGCUAACGUCCGUCGUGAAGAGGGAAACAACCCAGACCGCCAGCUAAGGUCCCAAAGUCAUGGUUAAGUGGGAAACGAUGUGGGAAGGCCCAGACAGCCAGGAUGUUGGCUUAGAAGCAGCCAUCAUUUAAAGAAAGCGUAAUAGCUCACUGGUCGAGUCGGCCUGCGCGGAAGAUGUAACGGGGCUAAACCAUGCACCGAAGCUGCGGCAGCGACACUAUGUGUUGUUGGGUAGGGGAGCGUUCUGUAAGCCUGUGAAGGUGGCCUGUGAGGGUUGCUGGAGGUAUCAGAAGUGCGAAUGCUGACAUAAGUAACGAUAAAGCGGGUGAAAAGCCCGCUCGCCGGAAGACCAAGGGUUCCUGUCCAACGUUAAUCGGGGCAGGGUGAGUCGACCCCUAAGGCGAGGCCGAAAGGCGUAGUCGAUGGGAAACGGGUUAAUAUUCCCGUACUUGGUGUUACUGCGAAGGGGGGACGGAGAAGGCUAUGUUGGCCGGGCGACGGUUGUCCCGGUUUAAGCGUGUAGGCUGGUUUUCCAGGCAAAUCCGGAAAAUCAAGGCUGAGGCGUGAUGACGAGGCACUACGGUGCUGAAGCAACAAAUGCCCUGCUUCCAGGAAAAGCCUCUAAGCAUCAGGUAACAUCAAAUCGUACCCCAAACCGACACAGGUGGUCAGGUAGAGAAUACCAAGGCGCUUGAGAGAACUCGGGUGAAGGAACUAGGCAAAAUGGUGCCGUAACUUCGGGAGAAGGCACGCUGACACGUAGGUGAAGUGAUUUACUCAUGGAGCUGAAGUCAGUCGAAGAUACCAGCUGGCUGCAACUGUUUAUUAAAAACACAGCACUGUGCAAACACGAAAGUGGACGUAUACGGUGUGACGCCUGCCCGGUGCCGGAAGGUUAAUUGAUGGGGUCAGCGCAAGCGAAGCUCCUGAUCGAAGCCCCGGUAAACGGCGGCCGUAACUAUAACGGUCCUAAGGUAGCGAAAUUCCUUGUCGGGUAAGUUCCGACCUGCACGAAUGGCGUAAUGAUGGCCAGGCUGUCUCCACCCGAGACUCAGUGAAAUUGAACUCGCUGUGAAGAUGCAGUGUACCCGCGGCAAGACGGAAAGACCCCGUGAACCUUUACUAUAGCUUGACACUGAACAUUGAGCCUUGAUGUGUAGGAUAGGUGGGAGGCUUUGAAGUGUGGACGCCAGUCUGCAUGGAGCCGACCUUGAAAUACCACCCUUUAAUGUUUGAUGUUCUAACGUGGACCCGUGAUCCGGGUUGCGGACAGUGUCUGGUGGGUAGUUUGACUGGGGCGGUCUCCUCCUAAAGAGUAACGGAGGAGCACGAAGGUUGGCUAAUCCUGGUCGGACAUCAGGAGGUUAGUGCAAUGGCAUAAGCCAGCUUGACUGCGAGCGUGACGGCGCGAGCAGGUGCGAAAGCAGGUCAUAGUGAUCCGGUGGUUCUGAAUGGAAGGGCCAUCGCUCAACGGAUAAAAGGUACUCCGGGGAUAACAGGCUGAUACCGCCCAAGAGUUCAUAUCGACGGCGGUGUUUGGCACCUCGAUGUCGGCUCAUCACAUCCUGGGGCUGAAGUAGGUCCCAAGGGUAUGGCUGUUCGCCAUUUAAAGUGGUACGCGAGCUGGGUUUAGAACGUCGUGAGACAGUUCGGUCCCUAUCUGCCGUGGGCGCUGGAGAACUGAGGGGGGCUGCUCCUAGUACGAGAGGACCGGAGUGGACGCAUCACUGGUGUUCGGGUUGUCAUGCCAAUGGCACUGCCCGGUAGCUAAAUGCGGAAGAGAUAAGUGCUGAAAGCAUCUAAGCACGAAACUUGCCCCGAGAUGAGUUCUCCCUGAGACUUAAAGUCUCCUGAAGGAACGUUGAAGACGACGACGUUGAUAGGCCGGGUGUGUAAGCGCAGCGAUGCGUUGAGCUAACCGGUACUAAUGAACCGUGAGGCUUAACCUU
rnacentral:rRNA from 1 species